CGUCGCUGCCGUGAUCGUGG
rnacentral:sRNA from 1 species